rnacentral:rRNA from 1 species
UACAGGGGGUGCAAACGUUGCUCGGAAUUAUUGGGCGUAAAGCGCGCGUAGGCGGCUACCUAAGUCGGAUGUGAAAGCCCCUGGCUUAACUGGGGAAGUGCACCCGAAACUGAGUAGCUAGAGUGCGAAAGAGGGUCGCGGAAUUCCCGGUGUAGAGGUGAAAUGCGUAGAUAUCGUGAGGAACACCGGUGGCGAAGGCGGCGACCUGGGUUGACACUGACGCUGAGGCGCGAAAGCGUGGGGAGCAAACAGG